rnacentral:rRNA from 1 species
CCCUUAGACGUUCUGGGCCGCACGCGCGCUACACUGACGAAGGCAACGAGCUUUCCUUUGCCGAAAGGUACGGGUAAUCUUUUGAAACUUCGUCGUGCUGGGGAUAGAUCCUUGCAAUUUUUGAUCUUAAACGAGGAAUGCCUAGUAAGCGCAAGUCAUCAACUUGCGUUGAUUACGUCCCUGCCCUUUGUACACACCGCCCGUCGCUACUACCGAUUGAAUGGUUUAGUGAGGCCUUCGGAUCCGCGACUCGUUUGUGGAGAAGUUGGACAAACUCAGUCAUUUAGAGGAAGUAAAAGUCGUAACA